GACGAACGCUGGCGGCGUGCUUAACACAUGCAAGUCGAACGGAAAGGCCCUGCUUUUGUGGGGUGCUCGAGUGGCGAACGGGUGAGUAACACGUGAGUAACCUGCCCUUGACUUUGGGAUAACUUCAGGAAACUGGGGCUAAUACCGGAUAGGAGCUCCUGCUGCAUGGUGGGGGUUGGAAAGUUUCGGCGGUUGGGGAUGGACUCGCGGCUUAUCAGCUUGUUGGCGGGGUAGUGGCUUACCAAGGCUUUGACGGGUAGCCGGCCUGAGAGGGUGACCGGCCACAUUGGGACUGAGAUACGGCCCAGACUCCUACGGGAGGCGGCAGUGGGGAAUAUUGCACAAUGGGCGGAAGCCUGAUGCAGCAACGCCGCGUGCGGGAUGACGGCCUUCGGGUUGUAAACCGCUUUCGCCUGUGACGAAGCGUGAGUGACGGUAAUGGGUAAAGAAGCACCGGCUAACUACGUG
rnacentral:rRNA from 1 species